rnacentral:ncRNA from 1 species
AUACAUAUACGGCAGCACUGUUGAAAAGCAGUUACGCAAAACUUGAGGGGCUAAGGAAUGAGAUUCUAUGCCAGCCAGUUGCGAAA